rnacentral:hammerhead_ribozyme from 1 species
GUACUGCUGUAGAGUCCAAAACUAGGACGAAACACUUAUCCAGUAC